rnacentral:lncRNA from 1 species
AUGCAAUUGAACGGUUUUAGAAAUGUUUCACUCUCCUCAUUCCACAAUCAAAAAUGGUUUCAUCACCCAUUAAUCUUCUAUAGUAGUUUCAAAUGCGAUUCCUUCUUUCUCUCUUCCUCUUCUUCACAGGCGGAUCUGAAGUACGCGGUGGUUUCCGACGCAGUAAGCAGACCCUGUUAUAGAGAGGCUGGAUCCGAAGCACUGCAUUAG